CUUUACUAUAACUUGGCCCUGAAACCCGAACGAAUCUGUGUAGCAUAGGUGGGAGACUUUGAUAUCUAGGCGCUAGCUUAGGUGGAGUCACCAUUGAAAUACCACCCUGAUUUUUUUGUGUUUCUAACCUAGUCCCGUUAUCCGGGACAGGGACACGGUCUGGUGGGUAGUUUGACUGGGGCGGUCGCCUCCCAAAUUGUAACGGAGGCGCACAAAGGUUCCCUCAGCCUGGACGGAAAUCAGGCGUAGAGUGUAUAGGCACAAGGGAGCUUGACUGUGACACUAACAAGUGGAGCAGGUGCGAAAGCAGGUCUAAGUGAUCCGGUGGUACCGCAUGGAAGGGCCAUCGCUCAACGGAUAAAAGGUA
rnacentral:rRNA from 1 species